rnacentral:rRNA from 1 species
UACGUAGGGGGCUAGCGUUGUCCGGAAUCAUUGGGCGUAAAGAGCGUGUAGGCGGUCCGGUAAGUCCGCUGUGAAAGUCGGGGGCUCAACCCUCGAAUGCCGGUGGAUACUGUCGGGCUAGAGUGCGGAAGAGGCGAGUGGAAUUCCUGGUGUAGCGGUGAAAUGCGCAGAUAUCAGGAGGAACACCGGUGGCGAAGGCGGCAUCCUGGACCGGCAUUGACGCUGAGGAGCGAAAGCCAGGGGAGCAAACGGG